UAGUCCACGCUGUAAACGAUGUCUACUAGCUGUUGGGUUCCUUGAGGACUUAGUGGCGCAGCUAACGCGAUAAGUAGACCGCCUGGGGAGUACGGCCGCAAGGUUAAAACUCAAAUGAAUUGACGGGGGCCCGCACAAGCGGUGGAGCAUGUGGUUUAAUUCGACGCAACGCGAAGAACCUUACCAGGUCUUGACAUCCUACUAAGUUUUCAGAGAUGAGAAUGUGCCUUCGGGAAAGUAGUGACAGGUGCUGCAUGGCUGUCGUCAGCUCGUGUCGUGAGAUGUUGGGUUAAGUCCCGCAACGAGCGCAACCCUUACCUUUAGUUGCCAGCAUUCAGUUGGGCACUCUAGAGGGACUGCCGACGUUAAGUCGGAGGAAGGUGGGGAUGACGUCAAGUCCUCAUGGCCUUUAUGUCCAGGGCUACACACGUGCUACAAUGGCAGAUACAAAGGGCUGCAAGACCGCGAGGUUUAGCCAAUCCCAUAAAGUCUGUCUAAGUUCGGAUCGG
rnacentral:rRNA from 1 species